UACGUAGGGUGCGAGCGUUGCCCGGAUUUAUUGGGCGUAAAGGGCGCGCAGGCGGCCACGCACGUCCGUUGUGAAAUCGCUCGGCUCAACUGGGCGGGGUCAGCGGAUACGGCGUGGCUGGAGCAAGCUAGGGGGCAAUGGAAUUCCCGGUGUAGUGGUGGAAUGCGUAGAUAUCGGGAGGAACACCAGUGGCGAAGGCGGUUGCCUGGAGCUUUGCUGACGCUGAGGCGCGGAAGCGUGGGGAGCAAACAGG
rnacentral:rRNA from 1 species